CCUACGGGUGGCUGCAGUGGGGAAUAUUGCACAAUGGGGGAAACCCUGAUGCAGCAACGCCGCGUGAGUGAAGAAGUAUUUCGGAAUGUAAACUCCUAUCAUCAGGGAAGAAAAUGACGGUAUCUGACUAAGAAGCACCGGCUAACUACGUGCCAGCAGCCGCGGUAAUACGGAGGGUGCAAGCGUUAUCCGGAUUUACUGGGUGUAAAGGGCGCGUAGGCGGGGUAGCAAGUCAGAGGUGAAAUCCCAUGGCUUAACCAUGGUACUGCGCUGGAAACUGUUGAGCUUGAGUGCGGGAGGGGAAGGCGGAAUUCAGAGUGUAGCGGUGAAAUGCGUAGAGAUUAGGAGGAACAC
rnacentral:rRNA from 1 species